rnacentral:hammerhead_ribozyme from 1 species
GUACUGCUGACAAGUCCCGAACAGGACGAAACAGGUGUCCAGUAC